UACGUAGGUGGCAAGCGUUAUCCGGAAUUAUUGGGCGUAAAGCGCGCGCAGGCGGUUUCUUAAGUCUGAUGUGAAAGCCCACGGCUCAACCGUGGAGGGUCAUUGGAAACUGGGGAACUUGAGUGCAGAAGAGAAAAGCGGAAUUCCACGUGUAGCGGUGAAAUGCGUAGAGAUGUGGAGGAACACCAGUGGCGAAGGCGGCUUUUUGGUGUGUAACUGACGCUGAGGCGCGAAAGCGUGGGGAGCAAACAGG
rnacentral:rRNA from 1 species